UUAAUAGAAGUAACAGUGAGAAUCAACCCAGUGUUAGGUUUUUUUCAUUUAAAAAUUUAUCUGCCUGUGACUCCUGAGCUCUGUUCCCCAUGCUAGGUUUAGGGAUAAAUGGAGUCACAGACAUCA